rnacentral:lncRNA from 1 species
AGCUCUCCUGGUAACAUGAGCAUGAGCAACCAGCCCGGCACUCCGCGAGACGACGGCGAGAUGGGGGGGAACUUCCUGAAUCCCUUUCAGAACGAAAGUUACUCUCCAAACAUGACAAUGAGUGUGUGAGCAGCCAUCUCCGGGGGUCACCGAAGAGAAGUUUAUUUAUCAAGUGUACAGUGAACAGAGGAUCAGUGAACCCACUGUUUCCUGCCUUCAUCAGCUCUGUGAAGAAAGUGGGUCCAAGCCUUUCUUUUCUGUUUUCGUUUUGUUUUGACAUAAUGACUUCUGACACCUUAAAGACUGAACUGCGUUUUAGGAAUCACCCUGACAAAAAAAUAAAGAACUGCAAAACGAUCAUUUGUAUAUACAUCUAUAUAAAUAUUCCCGCCAAGAUCAUCGUAUGGGUUAAGCGUAAUUGAAAACUUUACAUUAAAAAAGGCAAGAAUUGAUUUUUUAAUAUUCUGUUUCAUGUCCACGUUUACAAAUUCUGAUUCUUGAGAAAGGUGUUUUUUUUAUAUAUAUAUUUUCCAUACUUGGAAGUCCAUACCGUGUUGUGUAUACCACUUGCAAGUAAAUUAUUUUAUAGGAAAGGGAGACUUCCAAAUUAAAACAAGGUUACCAUGGUUGAAAAAUUUUAAAAUUUAAGGCAAAGAGCUCCAUUUGUUAUGUUUAUCCUGUGAAUAAACAAAAGCUGUUUAUUGUGUCUAGAAACAGAAAAAAGCCUGUACUGAAUGCUUAAAUUAAAAUAUGUAUACAUAUAGUUACACUCCAAAAUAUUAUCUUGAUUAAUUUGAUAAAAUACAGGUUUAGAUGUCUUACCAGGAUAAUUGAUCUAUUGGGGUGUAUUUUUUUUUGUUGAUUUGAGUUUUAAAUGUUGUAUUUUAUUAUGUAUUUGUGUUUAUAAACGUACAAUGGAGAGAAAAGUUAGAUUUAGAAAAAAUGUAAAGGUUGCUUUGUAUAAUGUACUGUACUGCAUCAAGAUAAUUUUUUGAGUGUGCAAUCUAGAAGCAUGUUGAAUGGUUCCAGAAGCAAUAGUUUCAUAUAUCAUCUGUCUCUCAAAGUUUCACAGAUAGCAACAUAUGCUGUGCGUGCUGUACUGUAGCUCGUUAACUCGGAUUGUGCCCAACGUCAUUGUAGACGAAUUGUAGACAAAGCCCCAAAAUGCAAAGAAUGCAACUAUCCCUCUUUUCUUGUUUGUCCAUGUGCUUUCUCUGUCCUUUCCCAGAUUCAGUAUGCGGAUGUUGUACUGUAUAUAGUCUGUUUCACCUCAGCCUGUCACCACUAGCAUUGUGAGGCGGAACACUAGGCCUGCCUUCAGUUCCUAUUCAGAUCCAUCAAACCGUCCAAACCUGUCGGUGGAGUGGUUAUAACGUUGAACUGCAGGUGUUCAGUUGAAUAAUUUCUUAGUAAACUGACGAGAUCACCUGAGAGUACGUUUUUUUUCAAACUUGAGUUACUUGUUUCUUUUUCAAAUGAAAAGGCAACAGAAAAGCUGGCCCUCUUGGUGCAGGUCAAGGUGAAGCAGACAAUAUUGUUAGGACUUACAUUAUGAUCUAGGGACAGUGGAUCUGGGCCCAGCUUCCUUGAAGGAAAGAUUUUGUUCGCCUCUAAAAGCUUUGUUUCUGUGAUUUCUACGAAGCAGGCUCUGUCUGGUGCCUCCCCUGUGGUAGUGUGAGUGUAGAAAGGCUGGACUGACUCCUGAAAUGAAAUAGCCAUCCCCUCUCUAAGCGAUGAAGCUCCAGGAGUUGAGUCUCUUGAGCGAGAGGCUGGUGCAACUUGCAGGGAAACAAAAUUUGAAACUGAUCUUUUUGCCCUGCUUUUUUCAUCUGGGCUUUUUAUGAAGCCGAAACGAAUUGUUUGACACUUCUGUUUUGGGCAGUUUAUCUUUCUUCUGGAUUUCGUUAGAAGUUCUUUGAUAACCCUUAUUUCAUGUUUCAUGUCAUUGACUGUGUUGCGCACUAGCCUUUGGCACUGAUAAGACUUGCUCUGUUAUGACAACUCUGAUGGGUUUAUACAUAUUUAUAUUUCAUUCAUUUGUAUCAAAUGCUUCUCAACUGGGAAAUGCAACAGGCUAACCCCCGCCUGCUGUUAACUGCCAUUGUCUUUCAGAGGAGCCCAGACGCAGGCACAUAGCUUUUUAUUUUCUUGUCGACACUGAUAUAUAUCCAGAGCUAAAAAGACUUGCAGUCUUAUCAUGUUUUCCUUUGCAUUCAGAGGCCAAUAAGCGCUGUUAUUCUUUCUGUUUUUAAUUGUUUUAAAGUUUCACGGGCAGUUUGCAAAAUAUAUUUUUCGUCUCACCGUCUUUACUUUUCUGACUUUUCGAAAAGGUUGUAUGAAACUCGACUAGGCCACUUCGUCAGCCAUUGAGUUUUGGGUUGGUUUGUUAAGAGGCAUCCCGAAGGAUUCCUGCCAUUCUCCGCAAUAUUGAGCUGCAGGUCUGAAACACCUGGCGCUGCUGGAAAAAAUGAUGGAUGCAAAGAUAAAAGGGUGUUUGGGAUUGACAUUAUUAUAGAUUGUUUAUGUUUUUUGUGAAAAUAACUCGUUUCCUGUUAUGGUUUUACUGUACAUCUACAUGGUACAAUUUUAUGUGUUAUCAGGAAACCCAUCAGAAAGUGUCCCAUACUGAUGCACUCCACACACUGCAGAGUUUUAAAUACUGUAUGUGGUGAACCUAUUUGCUAAAACUGUGCAUUAUAUGCCACCAUUUUACUUCGUUUCCAUGAUUUGUGUCUAUAUAUACCUGCAAAUAUUCUCUCCCCCUUUUGUUUUUGGAAUUUGUUGCUUCGCACCCUGAGUAGCCACUGCCAGUCAACGCGCAGCAGAGACGGACAAAGGCAAUACACGCAGAGUCUGCCGCUUACCGUGUCCUUCCUCCACCAGGGAGCCAGGUUUCAGUUCAGUGUAGGAUCUGCUGCCUCUUGCGGUCUAAGUGCUCUUGCAAUAUUACAGUUUUAAUCGUAAGUCAACCUGAUCUUCUCUACAAUUGACGUGGGAUGUGAAGGGUUAUCCUUCUGCAUUUUUAAGAGUCUUUUAUUUUUAGAUUUAAAGACACCAGAGAACACAGGUGUUGUGAAACCAGCUCAUCCAUUUCUCAAUCCAAAGUGACCCUUUCUUGUAGGGACCGUGCUCUGUCUGACUCAUGGCCACAGUGUGAGAGUUGUCUCUCUUAAGUGGCGGUUUGUUUUCCGUCCCUGCGUGUCUGCACAGUGCGUCUGUGUUUUUCCUCCUGGCUGCAGUCUUGAGAGAGUUGGCUGCUUCGUUCAUCACUGCCCCGAUCCCCAACCCCAUCAAACCUUCACUCCUCUGAGUGCUCCACCAGGGUCACUGAGGGUAGUGGUGUCAGGUGGACCCUGAGAGUGGACUCCUGGGCCGGAGAAUUGCUGUGGUUUAUCAAAAGGAGGCUUUUCUUCUUCUAGCUUCCUCUGCAUUUUGGGUUUAUGAGUAAAGAUUAGCCGCCACAUGUGCUGCCUCCAUUCCAUAACGGGCAACACAAACACCUAAAUAAGCAUGCACAUGGGAGCACUUGGUUCUGUGUGGCAGUGUGUUGUUUUUUGUUUUGAGGGCAGACCAUGCUGUUGAGUAGAAGCAUAGAACAACAGUCUGUCAACAAAAGUUUCAUUCUGCAGGAAGCCACUUGGGUGGGAGAAAACUGUUGUGUAUGUAAUUUGGGCUGCAGAAUGUAUUAGUAGCUAGGACAACUCCCUGGAGCUGGAGGGCUGUGGGUUCCGGUCUGAUCUGGGAUGCUGCUGUGGUACACUGGAUCAACAUACUUCAGCAGAAUCACUCCACUAAAUGCCAUAGCGUGCAUAAAUGGGUCUCCAGGUAGUCAUUGUGAAUGAGAGGUUCAGUUGACGUGUCUGAUUAAAUAAAGGAUAACUCAAAAUAAAUUGGACAAGAAAGAGAGUGCAUUAAUGUCACAUUUUUGGGGGGACAUAUUUAGUUACCUGUUGACUCGCUCUGUGUUGUGCAAAUGCAUGAUGAUGAAGUAUGACAGAGGUAUACAGUAUGUUGCAUAUUACACAAUAAUAUAGCUGUCAAAACGUUUUGGGAUGUGGAAUUUUUUUUUAAAGAAAAACAAUCCUGGAAUUUGACACACAAAUGGGUGGGAUUUCAGAAAUUGUCCCAAGAGAUGAAAGCAGCAGUGAGCAAACUUUGUAAACUAAAAGGUUCUGCAAACAAGGAUAAAGAGGGAAAUGUUUUAAAGAGUUUUGAUAAAACCUGUAUUUAUCCAAGCCAGUCUCUUUAAACUCAUGUCAUCCGGACAAACUGUGAUUUCCUUUCUUUUCCUUCUUGGUAAAAAAAAGGCUUUAUUCUGUUUCUUACCUUAAACCACUGCCCAUUAUUACUAUAGUAAUUAUUAUUAAUGUUAUUAUUAAAAAGCUCAAGUUUCGUGAAAUUUUAUUGUUUUCUCCAAUAUUUUUAUGCAGCAAAUGGCAAUUUUAUAGCUUGAAAAUCCAACUCAUGUGUUUUUGUGAAUUAUUUAAGAAAUACAUAAAAGAACGUUGUUGUUUUUUUGGCAUACGUAUCAUUGUAAUAGUAUCUGCCAUUUUGUUUUUUUUUAAUGAAAAUCUGCGAGUUGGAAAUAUGAGGGAGCCUCUUUUGUAAAUGAAAGACUUGUCACAAAAUUUUUUGGAUUCUGUUUUUUUUUUUUUCAUUUGUGAUGUGUUUAUUUUUUUACCUUGUGUUCAGUUUCUGUAAAUACACUGAAAAGUAUAAUAUGGGUUUUGGAUAUACUGAUAUAAAGUUUCUCUUCUCUGUUAGAGCACUUGUGUCUGCUCUCUUGUUUUUUGUAAAAAAAUAACCUCUCAAUUAAAUAUCUACAGUUUACACUCUGAUUUUAGAGAACAUAAUUCAGAGCUAUCAAGGAAGUACAGUAAUUGUUUCUAGGUCCUGGGUUGCAGAUGUGUUUGAUUAAUUCAAGACCUGUAUGAUUUACAAAAUGAAAGGUGGUUUUUCUGUGAAACAAUUGCUUCCCAUAAAAAGAAGUUCAGAUUCUGAGACAAACACAAUAUUGGCCUGGUUCAGGUAGAUUGUUAUAUUCAAACAUAUCCUACAAAAUCCAAUUUUCAGGGAGAUCUAUGGGAGGAAUCUGUUGUUAUCCUAGUUAAAACUUUGUGGUAAUACUUCACUUGAACAAGGCUAAAAAUCAGCAACACGAUAAACCAUAAAGCAGAGUGCGAUUUCACAUGAAACAUACCAGAACCACUCUUACUGUGCUACGUCUGCAGAAAGUCCUUCCCAACUCUCAAAUCCUUAAUGGCGUCUUCCAUUGCUGUUCCCUUAUUUCUCUCCACCUGGAGUUCUGCUUUUAGCUUUGGGUUGAAGCUCUUUAUGAACUGUGAUAAAAAAUUGC